AAACUUCCGACAAUCUUUAUCAUUUUCGCACAUAUAAAUUCCUAUGAUGUCAAAUAGGAAAAAAAAAAAUAUUAAUAAUAGGAAAUGAAAUAUUUGUGUAUAAGAUAAAGAAGCGAAAUGCUAAAGGUCCCUAUCAACUUACCAUUAAUUAUAACCAUAGGUAUAAAAAGAUAAAUAAUCAUAUCAUAAACAAAUUUGAGAAUUUUUGUCAUAUUUUUUCUCGUUUUUAUGUAGAAGUAGAAAACUGUGUGAUAUUUAUAGUGUGAAAACCACUCUUCUUCAAAUUAGAAUUAUUUU
rnacentral:lncRNA from 1 species